rnacentral:rRNA from 1 species
CACCAAGCCUUCGAUGGAUAGGGGUUCUGAGAGGAAGGUCCCCCACAUUGGAACUGAGACACGGUCCAAACUCCUACGGGAGGCAGCAGUGAGGAAUAUUGGUCAAUGGGCGCUAGCCUGAACCAGCCAAGUAGCGUGAAGGAUGAAGGCUCUAUGGGUCGUAAACUUCUUUUAUAUAAGAAUAAAGUGCAGUAUGUAUACUGUUUUGUAUGUAUUAUAUGAAUAAGGAUCGGCUAACUCCGUGCCAGCAGCCGCGGUAAUACGGAGGAUCCGAGCGUUAUCCGGAUUUAUUGGGUUUAAAGGGAGCGUAGGUGGACUGGUAAGUCAGUUGUGAAAGUUUGCGGCUCAACCGUAAAAUUGCAGUUGAUACUGUCAGUCUUGAGUACAGUAGAGGUGGGCGGAAUUCGUGGUGUAGCGGUGAAAUGCUUAGAUAUCACGAAGAACUCCGAUUGCGAAGGCAGCUCACUGGACUGCAACUGACACUGAUGCUCGAAAGUGUGGGUAUCAAACAGGAUUAGAUACCCUGGUAGUCCACACAGUAAACGAUGAAUACUCGCUGUUUGCGAUAUACAGUAAGCGGCCAAGCGAAAGCAUUAAGUAUUCCACCUGGGGAGUACGCCGGCAACGGUGAAACUCAAAGGAAUUGACGGGGGCCCGCACAAGCGGAGGAACAUGUGGUUUAAUUCGAUGAUACGCGAGGAACCUUACCCGGGCUUAAAUUGCAGUGGAAUGAUGUGGAAACAUGUCAGUGAGCAAUCACCACUGUGAAGGUGCUGCAUGGUUGUCGUCAGCUCGUGCCGUGAGGUGUCGGCUUAAGUGCCAUAACGAGCGCAACCCUUAUCUU